rnacentral:rRNA from 1 species
CAGCAGCCGCGGUAAUACGGGGGGAGCGAGCGUUGUUCGGAAUCACUGGGCGUAAAGGGCGCGUAGGCGGCUCGGUAAGUCAGAUGUGAAAUCCCCCGGCUCAACCGGGGAACUGCAUCUGAUACUGGUGGACUCGAGUAUGGUAGAGGUUAGCGGAAUUCCAGGUGUAGCGGUGAAAUGCGUAGAUAUCUGGAGGAACACCGGUGGCGAAAGCGCCCCUCUGGUCCGUCUCUGACGCUGAUGCGCGAAAGCUAGGGUAGCAAACGGGAUUAGAUACCCCGGUAGUCCUAGCCGUAAACGGUGGGCACUAGGUGUUGGAGGCAUCGACCCUUCCAGUGCCGCAGCUAACGCAUUAAGUGCCCCGCCUGGGGAGUACGGUCGCAAGACUGAAACUCAAAGGAAUUGACGGGGGCCCGCACAAGCGGUGGAGCAUGUGGUUCAAUUCGACGCAACGCGAAGAACCUUACCCAGGCUUGACAUGCACUGGACCGGUGUGGAAACACACCUUCCCUUCGGGGCUAGUGCACAGGUGCUGCAUGGCUGUCGUCAGCUCGUGUCGUGAGAUGUUGGGUUAAGUCCCGCAACGAGCGCAACCCUUGCCCUUAGUUGCCUACGAAUUACGUCAGCCACUCUAGGGGGACUGCCGGCCGUAACCCGGAGGAAGGUGGGGACGACGUCAAGUCCUCAUGGCCCUUAUCGCCUGGGCUACACACGUG